rnacentral:rRNA from 1 species
UACGGAGGAUCCGAGCGUUAUCCGGAUUUAUUGGGUUUAAAGGGUGCGUAGGCGGCUUUUUAAGUCAGCGGUGAAAUUUUGCAGCUUAACUGUAACAGUGCCGUUGAUACUGCAUGGCUAGGAUUUGGUUGCUGUGGGUGGAAUGUGUGGUGUAGCGGUGAAAUUCUUAGAUAUCACACAGAAUAUCAAUUGCGAAGGCAGCUCACAAAGCCAAGAUUGACGCUGAGGCACGAAAGUGUGGGGAUCAAACAGGAUUA